GUCCAGUCAUUGGGGACCUAGUCUGCAUUUUGUGAUUCUCCAGAGGGGCACUAAGGGGCCAGCCUACUCCCAUCGCAUUCUACUGGCAAGAACUCAAGUCAGAUGGCUGCAUCUACUCCAAGGAGGAGAGAGUAGGGUUGCCACAAAUAAUUUUUCAGUAUAAUUAUAUUCCAGAUAGUUUAUAUGACAUCCUUAUGCUAAGGAAUUCUUCAUUUAUAUGAAAUUCAAAUGGUACUAGACAUCCUUAUUUUUAUUUGUUAAUCUGGUGGCCCUACUGAGAAGUGAAGUCUUGCUGUGGGUUCAGGAAGACAAGAACACAGAUAUUUGUCACAGUGUGACAUCAGGAGCCAAUACCUCUCUCAGAAACACUUGUCCAUUCCCUAGAGAAAUAACACCAAAUCUCAUCUGGUCAUUCAUUAUGUUCAGCUCGAAGUCUCUUCACCAGCUUUAGACUCCCAUUUUGAAAAGGAUUCAGGAGAGAUACAGCAGUCUGGUCUGAAGCCCUUCUGAAUUCCCACUGGUCACGCCUACUUCCCCAGCCAGUUUUGCCAGGCCCUAACUCCUACAUCAGUAGGACUGAGAUCCUUUCAAGAAGAGAAUUUGUGUGUACUGAAGAGGCC
ensembl:lncRNA